GCGGUGAGACAUCUCAUGAGAAUAGAGAGAAGCAUAAAAUCAUGAUCAUGCAAAAUUAAGUAGGUUCCUUGAAGUGAAAGUUAAAAUUAAAGUGGAUUAUUGCUUACAGCUGCUUAUAGCCUUUUUAUUUAUACAAUUUGAAAAAUUCUAAGAAAAUUGUCGACUGAAUAACUGCAGUGCCCUAACCAGAGUUGUUUGCUGAACUUACGAUCUAAAGUGUACGGCUUAUAAGUACAGGUGAAUCACGAUUACUAGCGA